AGUGAACGCUGGCGGUAGGCCUAACACAUGCAAGUCGAACGGCAGCACAGUAAGAGCUUGCUCUUACGGGUUGCGAGUGGCGGACGGGUGAGGAAUACAUCGGACUCUACUUUUUCGUGGGGGAUAACGUAGGUAAACUUACGCUAAUACCGCAUACGACCUACGGGUGAAAGCAGGGGAUCUUCGCACCUUGCGCGAUUGAAUGAGCCGAUGUCGGAUUAGCUAGUUGGCGGGGUAAAGGCCCACCAAGGCGACGAUCCGUAGCUGGUCUGAGAGGAUGAUCAGCCACACUGGAACUGAGACACGGUCCAGACUCCUGCGGGAGGCAGCAGUGGGGAAUAUUGGACAAUGGGCGCGAGCCUGGUACAGCCAUACCGCGUGGGUGAAGAAGGCCUUGGGGUUGUAAAGCCCUUUUGUUGGGAAAGAAAAGCAGCAGGUUAAUACCCCGCUGUUCUGACGGUACCCAAAGAAUAAGCACCGGCUAACUUCGUG
rnacentral:rRNA from 1 species